UUAAUUGAAGCUAAAAUUUGAAGCAUUCCACUGUUAAUGGAAAAAUUGGUUAUUACCCUAUUAAA
rnacentral:tRNA from 1 species